AUUGAACGCUGGCGGCAGGCCUAACACAUGCAAGUCGAACGAGUGGCGGACGGGUGAGUAAGGUCUGGGAAACUGCCCGCUGGAGGGGGAUAACGACUGGAAAAGGUAGCUAAUAACGCAUACCAUCGGAUGUGCCCAGAGGGGAUUAGCUAGUAGGUGGGGUAACGGAUCACCACGGCGACGAUCCCUAGCUGGUCGGAUAGGAUGACCAGCCACACUGGAACUGAGACACGGUCCAGCCUCCUACGGGAGGCAGCAGUGGGGAAUAUUGCACAAUGGUCGCAAGCCUGAUGCAGCAAUGCCGCGUGUGUGAAGAAGGCCUUCGGGUUGUAAAGUACUUUCAGCGAGGAGGCGUUACUCGCAGAAGAAGCACCGGCUAACUCCGUGCCAGCAGCCGCGGUAAUAC
rnacentral:rRNA from 1 species